GUGCUCGCUUCAGCAGCACAUAGACUAAAAUGAAUGAUACAGAGAUUAGCAUGGCUCCUGCGCAAGGAUGUCAUGCAAAUUUGUGAAGCAUCCUAUAUUUUU